GAUGAACGCUAGCUACAGGCUUAACACAUGCAAGUCGAGGGGCAGCAUGACGGAAGCUUGCUUCCGUUGAUGGCGACCGGCGCACGGGUGAGUAACGCGUAUCCAACCUGCCCUUGUCCAUCGGAUAACCCGUCGAAAGGCGGACUAACACGAUAUGCAGUUCUCAGCAGGCAUCUAACGAGAACGAAAUGUGAAGGAGAAGGAUGGGGAUGCGUCUGAUUAGCUUGUUGGCGGGGUAACGGCCCACAAAGGCGACGAUAAGUAGGGGUUCUGAAAGGAAGGUCCCCCACGUUGGAACGGAGACACGGUCCAAACUCCUACGGGAGGCAGCAGUGAGGAAUAUUGGUCAAUGGGCGAGAGCCUGAACCAGCCAAGUAGCGUGCAGGAUGACGGCCCUAUGGGUUGUAAACUGCUUUUAUACGGGGAUAAAGUGGGCCACGUGUGGCUUAUUGCAGGUACCGUAUGAAUAAGGACCGGCUAAUUCCGUGCCAGCCGCCGCGGUAA
rnacentral:rRNA from 1 species